AGAUAGCUAGUGGUUGGAUGUAUUUUCUCAGUUGUUUGUUUUCGUUUAAUUUCAUGUACAGGGCAGCUAUUGCAGUCUCAUGUGAAAAAGGGAACAUUUAUUAUGUACAGACAUGAUGUUUUGGGGUCUUUAUUCGGAUUCGGCGGUGAAAUUGUAACAUUUUUGUGCCUGUGGUACUUGGCUAGUACUCAUGUAUAAGAGGCUUACCCAUUUGACAUU
rnacentral:sRNA from 1 species